UGUUACUGUGUCACUAUACCCCACUCCCUCUAACAUGUAAACUCACUGAGCAGGGCCCUCAGUCCCUCUGUUACUGUGUCACUAUACCCCACUCCCUCUAACAUGUAAACUCACUGAGCAGGGCCCUCAAUCCCUCUGUUACUGUGUCACUAUACCCCACUCCCUCUAACAUGUAAACUCACUGAGCAGGGCCCUCAAUCCCUCUGUUACUGUGUCACUAUACCCCACUCCCUCUAAC